rnacentral:rRNA from 1 species
CCUACGGGAGGCAGCAGUGAGGAAUAUAGGUCAAUGGACGAGAGUCUGAACCAGCCAAGUAGCGUGAAGGAUGACUGCCCUAUGGGUUGUAAACUUCUUUUAUAUGGGAAUAAAAUGUUCCACGUGUGGGAUUUUGUAUGUACCAUAUGAAUAAGGAUCGGCUAACUCCGUGCCAGCCGCCGCGGUAAUACGGAGGAUCCGAGCGUUAUCCGGAUUUAUUGGGGUUUAAGGGAGCGUAGGUGGAUUGUUAAGUCAGUUGUGAAAGUUUGCGGCUCAACCGUAAAAUUGCAGUUGAAACUGGCAGUCUUGAGUACAGUAGAGGUGGGCGGAAUUCGUGGUGUAGCGGUGAAAUGCUUAGAUAUCACGAAGAACUCCGAUUGCGAAGGCAGCUCACUGGACUGCAACUGACACUGAGGCUCGAAAGUGUGGGUAUCAAACAGGAUUAGAUACCCGAGUAGUC